AGAGUUGAUCAUGGCUCAGGAUGAACGCUAGCGACAGGCUUAACACAUGCAAGUCGAGGGGCAGCAUAAAAGUAGCAAUACUUGGUGGCGACCGGCGCACGGGUGAGUAACGCGUAUGCAACCUACCUAUCAGAGGGGAAUAACCCGGCGAAAGUCGGACUAAUACCGCAUAAAACAGGGGCACCACAUGGUGAUAUUUGUUAAAGAAAUUCGCUGAUAGAUGGGCAUGCGUUCCAUUAGGUAGUUGGUGAGGUAACGGCUCACCAAGCCGACGAUGGAUAGGGAACUGAGAGGUUGGUCCCCCACACUGGUACUGAGACACGGACCAGACUCCUACGGGAGGCAGCAGUGAGGAAUAUUGGUCAAUGGGCGAGAGCCUGAACCAGCCAAGUCGCGUGAAGGAAGAAGGAUCUAUGGUUCGUAAACUUCUUUUGCAGGGGAAUAAAGUGCAGGACGUGUCCUGUUUUGUAUGUACCCUGAGAAUAAGGAUCGGCUAACUCCGUGCCAGCCGCCGC
rnacentral:rRNA from 1 species